CCUACGGGUCGCAGCAGUGAGGAAUAUUGAACAAUGGGUGGAAGCCUGAUCCAGCCAUCCCGCGUGCAGGAAGACGGCCCUAUAGGUUGUAAACUGCUUUUAUCUGGGGAUAAACCUACUUACGUGUAAGUAGCUGAAGGUACCAGAAGAAUAUGCACCGGCUAACUCCGUGCCAGCAGCCGCGAUAAUACGGAGGGUGCAAGCGUUAUCCGGAUUUAUUGGGUUUAAAGGGUCCGUAGGCGGACUAGUAAGUCAGUGGUGAAAUCCGACAGCUUAACUGUCGAACUGCCAUUGAUACUGCUAGUCUUGAGUAAGGUUGAAGUGGCUGGAAUAAGUAGUGUAGCGGUGAAAUGCAUAGAUAUUACUUAGAACACCAAUUGCGAAGGCAGGUCACUAAGUCUUAACUGACGCUGAUGGACGACAGCGUGGGGAGCGAACGGGAUUAGAUACCCUAGUAGUC
rnacentral:rRNA from 1 species